rnacentral:lncRNA from 1 species
UUUCCACAUGGAGCGGCAGAAACCCAAUCCGCGGGUUGCGAAGCGUGGGUCAGCCAAGGCACGUUAAUCUGUUUAGCAUGUGCGCCGCGCGGAGGAGCCAGACCACCGGGGCGCAGGAGGCGCGGCCGCAGCCGCGCCGCUCCGGGGGAGUUAAUAAAGAGCUUAAGGCAACUUUCAGCAUCGCGUUCUGUUGGACAGAGAGCCCCAGGACUGUCAGACGGCGAAGGGUUAGGAAGUGCGCGCAGCUUCGCCGACCCCUGCCCAGUCCGAGAACCGGAGCUGUUGUCGAUCGAGGGCCCGGCCGUUGCGCCCGGGGCGCGCGGGCCUCGCUGAGUCGCGACGAGUCCCUGCGCCUCCUCCCAGACGCGGCGCCACCGAGAGACAGACCACCGGCUCCCGCUUCAUUUCAGGGGCUGACGAGGGGAAAACACUACUGCGCCCCUGGCCGAAGGAGGUAAACCAAGUAGAAAGGGCGAUCAAAAAUUAAUUUGGUGCACUGCUCGGGAGCAGCACCCUGUCAAAACCCUACGGAGACGUUGGCACAAGCGGCAAACGGAUUCACAGACAAAGGAAAACAAUACAAGUCUCGUUAGAUCAUUUUUCUGGACAUUGUUUAAGGUCUGAAAGGGACCAAAUCGUUUCAAAAUGUUGCCAGUAAAAAUUAUCCUAUGUGGAAUGCAACUAAUCCUUUUAGGUUCCUGUCAACUGUUUCCACAAAAGGAAUCCGAUUUUUCAAAUCAAAGAUCCAAAAGUCUUUGGGGAGAGAUUUAUUACAUGCCAGAGCUUUAGUUACAGAAUAGAGUUACAAUAACAACUCGCACCCACCAACUCCCCAAAAUAAGGGAUCCCAUCCCACGCAGUUCUAAUGACGUGUGGGGGAUGGUUGCUGGAGUCCUGCUAAAUAUGCAGAUGGGAGGAGAGUGGGGGAAGGGGGAGGAAGGCAAAGAAAUAUUAAAUUCCUUAAAUAGACCAACAGAACACAGCGCCUCAACAUUUUAUUUUUGUUCUCCGUACCCCUGGUUCCUUUUGAAGAGGAAAACAAGACCCAAACUUGGUGACCUGCCCGCUCAGUUUAGAACUUUAAGGUGAGCUUAAUGCUUGAGUACUGAAAAACUCUUCCGAACCCUGACUUCUCUGAGUUUGCAUAGUAGUGUGUCUACAGUGUCUGCAAGUGGAAAAUAUUUAAAAGUGAGAAAAGAAUACAAGAAAAUAUUUUUUCUUUAAAAUUUUUAAAAAUUUAUUUUAAAGUUUUUCUUUGAUUUGGAAUACAAUGUUUAAGAACAAGAAAAAAGUGCCCCAGGGCUUUUCACUGUGCCUCCGU